GUGUGUAGCGACGCCCGCGGAAGGUACUCGACCCGCGGCGCUCGCUCCCCGAAGGGGGCGCGGGCCAAGCUCCUGCCUCCGACGAGCGCAGCCCCAGCCGGCGGAGCUCGGCCCCCCGCCGCUUCGACAGGAUGGCCCACUGAGGUCAGAAAAGGCACUGGAACUGGAGUUCGAGACCUUUGUGAGCUGCCGUGUUGGUGCUGGGAGUCAAACCUGAGUCCUCCCCACAGCUGAACCACCUUCCCAACCCCCCAAGCUGAUGGCAGUCUUAAACAUUCUCCUAUGAGCUAAAUAAAAACAUGUAAAUACUUUGA